GUAGGUGGCAAGCGUUGUCCGGAAUUAUUAGGCGUAAAGCGCGCGCAGGCGGUUCUUUAAGUCUGAUGUGAAAGCCCACGGCUCAACCGUGGAGGGUCAUUGGAAACUGGAGAACUUGAGUACAGAAGAGGAAAGCGGAAUUCCACGUGUAGCGGUGAAAUGCGUAGAGAUGUGGAGGAACACCAGUGGCGAAGGCGGCUUUCUGGUCUGUAACUGACGCUGAGGCGCGAAAGCGUGGGGAGCAAACAGGAUUAGAUACCCUGGUAGUCCACGCCGUAAACGAUGAGUGCUAAGUGUUAGGGGGGUUUCCGCCCCCCUUAGUGCUGCAGCUAACGCAUUAAGCACUCCGCCUGGGAUACGGCCGCAAGGCUG
rnacentral:rRNA from 1 species